rnacentral:rRNA from 1 species
UACGGAGGGGGCUAGCGUUGUUCGGAAUUACUGGGCGUAAAGCGCGCGUAGGCGGAUCUGCAAGUCGGGGGUGAAAUCCCGAGGCUCAACCUCGGAACUGCCUUCGAUACUGCGGGUCUCGAGUCCGGGAGAGGUGAGUGGAAUUCCUAGUGUAGAGGUGAAAUUCGUAGAUAUUAGGAAGAACACCAGUGGCGAAGGCGACUACCUGGCCUGUUCUUGACGCUGAGGCGCGAAAGCUAGGGGAGCAAACGGG